AAUGAGGAAAUACUCAGAAAGUUGAAAGGGUUUUGUCAAAAAUAGCAAGCCUAAUUUUUCUUUAGUAUCGCAAAGGAAAUCUUCACGAAGGAAGCACAUGUAAACAUUUCACCAAAGCCACCUUGACCUUGGCUAGUAUGUGGCCACAUCCUCGUGGAAGAUCACAGUGAGAUGGUGACAGACAUUGAUGGUUCUGUGUGGGAGGAAGUGCUUUCAGUUUAAACAAGGGGCAGAACACAGCAAAGGAGAAACAAGAGCAAGCUGAGCUCACUGGAAUGGAUGGGGAGGGACAGAGGAGGAGAGAAAACUCCACAGGCUUCCAUUUGUUACAGGAAGUCCAUGAUCAACCUUGACCAUGGUACAUAAAUGUUUGGCACAGAAGGGCAUUCCCAGGGAGCCGUGGAGGACGAAAUUCUGGAGGAGAACCAAUUUCUUUCCACUGCCUGUAGAUGAAAGAG
rnacentral:sRNA from 1 species